AGCGAACGCUGGCGGCAGGCCUAACACAUGCAAGUCGAACGGAUCCUUCGGGAUUAGUGGCGGACGGGUGGGUAACACGUGGGAACGUGCCCUUUGGUUCGGAACAACUCAGGGAAACUUGAGCUAAUACCGGAUGUGCCCUUCGGGGGAAAGAUUUAUCGCCAUUGGAGCGGCCCGCGUCUGAUUAGCUAGUUGGUGAGGUAACGGCCCACCAAGGCGACGAUCAGUAGCUGGUCUGAGAGGAUGAUCAGCCACACUGGGACUGAGACACGGCCCAGACUCCUACGGGAGGCAGCAGUGGGGAAUCUUGCGCAAUGGGCGAAAGCCUGACGCAGCCAUGCCGCGUGAAUGAUGAGGGUCCUAGGAUUGUAAAAUUCUUUCAGCGGGGACGAUAAUGACGGUACCCGCAGAAGAAGCUCCGGCUAACUUCGUG
rnacentral:rRNA from 1 species